AGGCAGUGUUCCAGAGGUGUCCCUUACCAUGCAGAAGACACUUGAAUGUCAAGGACUCUCCCUCCAUCCGAAGUCCUUUUCUGCAAGAGUCAAGACUGCCAGACCAAGGUAAAACUCUCCUGCUGAUAGAAACUUACAGAUUGGGUCAGAAACACAACAUUCAAUUAGAAGUUGGCAAUAGGAGACCCACAAGAAACAAGUAACACCAAAAGGUUUACGACAAAGGAGACGCAAUAUUUGCUUUAGUCUAAGACACGUGUUAGAAGUACAGCUAGAACGAUGCAUUUCUGCCUGGACAGAUGUUACUAUCCUGUCUCCAGCUCCAGGUAAUAAGAGUCCUACAGAGUGUACUUAGAAGGAAAACUACGAGCAAUAUUUCCAUGAGGUCUUUUUCUCCAUCCGCAUUUCGCCAAAAACUUCUAACACGACACUGAGGAUUCUAGCCUCCUCCCUGGUCUGUGAUUCCUGUUUCUUUCCACCCGAGUUUGUUACCAGUGCAUUUUCCGCAGGGCGUGUAGCCCUCACGUACCUACCGUCUGCUCUCCGUUCCCUAUGCCCUGAGUGCUGAAGCUACAUAUUAGGUAAUGAGGACCCCAGGUUGAAGCCUUUUCCGCUCCACAGAGCGACAGCCCAGUGCUGGAGAAAGACACCUAAAAUAAAUACAUUGGUUUGAUUCCACGAUGGUCAGAGAACAUACUUUGUACGAUUUCACUUAUUUUGCCUUUGUCAAGGUUAGUCGAAUGACGUGUUGGCGUGGACAUCCUUUGCUCCUGUCUCCAGUGUUCCUGCUACACUCCCAUCCUCUGGACAUCUGGUAGUUGCUGGCGCUGUUGGCACGGUCCACUCUCAUUCUCCUGAACUCCGCAUGGAUUUCCAGGCACAAGUCCCUUGAACAGACACUCUUCGGCUAUAUCAUUGGCCAGGUGGUGUGCCGGGCAAACACGUGACCAUGGAGAAUGGGUACCCUCACUCCACUGGGGCAGCUCUGUGAUGUUCUGAGGCAGAUGGAGGCCCAAGCUGUCCAGGUGCUGAGACUGGGGCUAGGAAGGGGCUUUCUGGGCCUGCCCUGUCUAGAGGCUGACAUCAGGUUCUGCAGUCCUAGGAGGGUACCUCCUGGGAGCUGCCAUUGCUCGGAAUCCUGAGACCUCCUCCCUUCCAAGCCAGUGACUGGUCUGACUGGGAGAUGGGACUUUCACUGACUACAGUCCCAUUUGGCCUUCUGGCGCCGCAACGCAGGACCUUCUCUUGUGUUUCAUUCCUGUCCGUGUUAUACCUGACAGAGGAGUUGAACCUGGUGGGAGCUGAAUUGUCCCGAGAAAGGGCCAGAGGUCUACCUGGUGGAGGGGAUGCCCAGGAAGGAAGAGGGACCCUCGGAGGUGUGAGCAGAAGUGGCAAUAACUUAUCCCUGGUUACAAGAUUGUGGGGACUGGUAAAAGUAAGGGGAGAUAAGGUUUGAUUUAAAAAUCUCUUGCUUUGGGACUUCCCUGGUGGUCCAGUGGGUAAGACUCUGUGCCCCCAAUGCAGAGUCGAAUCUGGGGGCCCAGAUUCGAGCCCUGGUCAGGGAACUAGAUCCCGUGUGCAUGUGGCAACUAAGAAGCCCACAUGCCGCAACUAAGAAGUCCACAUGCCGCAACAAAGACCCA